rnacentral:rRNA from 1 species
GACGAACGCUGGCGGCGUGCUUAACACAUGCAAGUCGAACGGAAAGGCCCUGCUUGCAGGGUACUCGAGUGGCGAACGGGUGAGUAACACGUGGGUGAUCUGCCCUGCACUUCGGGAUAAGCCUGGGAAACUGGGUCUAAUACCGGAUAGGAGCCAUUUUUAGUGUGAUGGUUGGAAAGUUUUUUCGGUGUAGGAUGAGCUCGCGGCCUAUCAGCUUGUUGGUGGGGUAAUGGCCUACCAAGGCGGCGACGGGUAGCCGGCCUGAGAGGGUGGACGGCCACAUUGGGACUGAGAUACGGCCCAGACUCCUACGGGAGGCAGCAGUGGGGAAUAUUGCACAAUGGGCGCAAGCCUGAUGCAGCGACGCCGCGUGGGGGAUGACGGUCUUCGGGUUGUAAACUCCUUUCGCUAGGGACGAAGCUUUUUGUGACGGUACCUAGAUAGGAAGCACCGGCUAACUACGU